rnacentral:rRNA from 1 species
UACGAAGGGGGCUAGCGUUGUUCGGAAUCAUUGGGCGUAAAGGGCGCGUAGGUGGCUUCUUAAGCGUGCGGUGAAAGCCUGGGGCUCAACCCCGGGUCGGCCGUGCGAACUGGGGGGCUGGAGCACUGUAGAGGCAGGCGGAAUUCCGGGUGUAGCGGUGGAAUGCGUAGAGAUCCGGAAGAACACCGGUGGCGAAGGCGGCCUGCUGGGACAGUGCUGACGCUGAGGCGCGACAGCGUGGGGAGCAAACAGG